GACGAACGCUGGCGGCGUGCUUAACACAUGCAAGUCGAACGGAAAGGCCCUGCUUUUGUGGGGUGCUCGAGUGGCGAACGGGUGAGUAACACGUGAGUAACCUGCCCUUGACUUUGGGAUAACUUCAGGAAACUGGGGCUAAUACCGGAUAGGAGCUCCUGCUGCAUGGGGGGGGUUGGAAAGUUUCGGCGGUUGGGGAUGGACUCGCGGCUUAUCAGCUUGUUGGUGGGGUAGUGGCUUACCAAGGCUUUGACGGGUAGCCGGCCUGAGAGGGUGACCGGCCACAUGGGGACUGAGAUACGGCCCAGACGCCUACGGGAGGCAGCAGGGGGGAAUAUUGCACAAUGGGCGGAAGCCUGAUGCAGCAACGCCGCGUGCGGGAUGACGGCCUUCGGGUUGUAAACCGCUUUCGCCUGUGACGAAGCGUGAGUGACGGUAAUGGGUAAAGAAGCACCGGCUAACUACGUG
rnacentral:rRNA from 1 species